rnacentral:rRNA from 1 species
AGCAGCCGCGGUAAUUCCAGCUCCAAUAGCGUAUAUUAAAGUUGCUGCAGUUAAAAAGCUCGUAGUUGAAUUUCGGGACUGAUAUGUCGGUCGUGCCUCGGUACGUACUGGUAUUUUUGGUUUCUCCCUUCUGACGAACCUUGAUGUCAUUAAUUUGGUGUCUUGGGAAAUCAGGACUGUUACUUUGAAAAAAUUAGAGUGUUUAAAGCAGGCUCACGCUUGAAUACAUUAGCAUGGAAUAAUGAAAUAGGACGUUUGAUUCUAUUUUGUUGGUUUCUAGGAUUGACGUAAUGAUUAAUAGGGAUAGUUGGGGGCAUUAGUAUUCAAUUGUCAGAGGUGAAAUUCUUGGAUUUAUUGAAGACUAACUACUGCGAAAGCAUUUGCCAAGGAUGUUUUCAUUAAUCAAGAACGAAAGUUAGGGGAUCGAAGACGAUCAGAUACCGUCGUAGUCUUAACCAUAAACUAUGCCGACUAGGGAUCGGAUGAUGUUAAUUUUUAAUGACUCAUUCGGCGCCUUACG